AGUAAAGUGUCUGAAAAAGAGUAACUUUGAUAGAGUUAAGAAUGCAGCCUAAACCUGCCUUUACUA
rnacentral:tRNA from 1 species